GGGGGCUUAGCUCAGUUGGUAGAGCAGCUGACUUUUAAUCAGUUGGUCAUAGGUUCGAAUCCUAUAGCCCCCACCA
rnacentral:tRNA from 1 species